AUGAAGUGCCAAGGAAGGCAUUUAAGGUUCAUUUUCAAUGGGGAUGCUGUGCCCUCUGAGUCCUUUGUAGUAUUAGGCAACAAACAGAGUUUAUCAGCGAAUGCACCACGAGGAAUCAGAGAUGGAAACAGAAGAGGAGGUUGACAUUUUAAUAAGCAGUGAUAUUUAUUCUGAAAAUUUAUCAACCAAAUCAAUUUCUUUCACACAUGCCCAAACUGGAUGGCUUUGUUGGGAAGAUAAAACAGAAAGAGUAGGAAACUUUUUGGCAGACUUUUAUCUGGUGAAUGGACUUGUGCUAGAGUCCAGGAAGAGGAGAGAACGCUUCAGCGAGGAGGGCAUCCUUCAGAACAAGGCCAUCAUGGAGCAUCUCAGCAAGGGCGGGAACAUCAUGGAGCAGAACUUCAAGCUGGUUAGAAGACAGUCCCUUACCCCUCCUCCUCAGAACACCAUUACAUGGAAAGACUAUAUAUCCACUGAGCAUGGAAAAGCCCCUCAUCUGAGCAGAGAGCUCGUGUGCAAAGAGUGAGAAGACCUUUAAAGCCAAGGUAGCCAUGAGCCAGGAACUCCCCCUGGGGAUUGAGUCAUAAGUGACCUUGAUGACACUAGGGCAAGCCAAAGACUGUCAGGCACCACCACUUGCACCUGAGGCAUUUGACUUUGAGAAAGCAUUCUGUUGCUGUCCUGAGAGGGUGCACAUCUCCCACAAAUAUUGUGGUUCAUGA